CCCUUAGAUGUUCUGGGCCGCACGCGCGCUACACUGAUGCAUUCAACGAGUCUAAAACCUGCUCUGAUAGGGGUGGGUAAUCUUUUGAAUGUGCAUCGUGAUUGGGAUAGAUGAUUGCAAUUUUUCAUCUUCAACGAGGAAUGUCUAGUAAACGCAAGUCAUCAGCUUGCAUUGAUUACGUCCCUGCCCUUUGUACACACCGCCCGUCGCUCCUACCGAUUGAAUGAUCCGAUGAAUAUCAUGGAUUGAGGAUUAUAGCAGGUUCGCCUGUCUUGAUCUUCGAGAAGUGAAGUAAAUCUUAUCAUUUAGAGGAAGGAGAAGUCGUAACA
rnacentral:rRNA from 1 species